CCAGAAAAACCAGCACUGGAUGAACUAGAUUUUCAGUGACCUAAAAGACACUACCAAGGUAUUUGAAGAGGAAGGAGGCAGAGCUGUGUGUAAUGGGAUGGCCUGCACAGUCACUCAACCUUAACUUGAUCACGCUACUCUGGGAGUCCUCAAGAUCUGAGAGGGAUGUGUCCAACAAAAUCAAGCGCCAUAAACCUUUGGCACAUCCAGCGACAGCUGCUAAGGGAGUUAAGUAUAGCACAGGCUUGUUUAAUAGACUACUGAUCCAUAUACUCAUAUCCAUGAGUUAUAUCUAAGUUGCAGGUAUUGUUCAAAGUGGAAAAUGCCAUGUGCUCCUCACUCACUCAGUUUUAGUAACUGCUUUAUCCUGAACAGGUUCACAGUCAAUCCGGAGCCUAUCCUGGGAGCACCGGGCAUGAGGAAUGUUCCAGCCACAGAACAUCUUCCACUAAAUGUUUGAUAUUGUCUUUAACAAAAGAAGAUUUGGAUGCAAUGGAUUUUAACAGGAAACAGGGCAAGCACAUCACACAUGACAAAUUAUCAAAUUCAAAAAGACUGGAAGUGUUGCAGAACAACAGAGAAGUGGACGCCCAUGAACAUCCAUGCACAACAUCCAUGAACAACAUGAUGAAGGAACAACCUACAUGGUGCUGGAAAACAUGGGACAUCC
ensembl:lncRNA